UUAAAUCGACCGCCUGGGGAGUACGGCCGCAAGGUUAAAACUCAAAUGAAUUGACGGGGGCCCGCACAAGCGGUGGAGCAUGUGGUUUAAUUCGAUGCAACGCGAAGAACCUUACCUGGUCUUGACAUCCACAGAACUUUCCAGAGAUGGAUUGGUGCCUUCGGGAACUGUGAGACAGGUGCUGCAUGGCUGUCGUCAGCUCGUGUUGUGAAAUGUUGGGUUAAGUCCCGCAACGAGCGCAACCCUUAUCCUUUGUUGCCAGCGGUCCGGCCGGGAACUCAAAGGAGACUGCCAGUGAUAAACUGGAGGAAGGUGGGGAUGACGUCAAGUCAUCAUGGCCCUUACGACCAGGGCUACACACGUGCUACAAUGGCAUAUACAAAGAGAAGCGACCUCGCGAGAGCAAGCGGACCUCAUAAAGUAUGUCGUAGUCCGGAUUG
rnacentral:rRNA from 1 species